UGCCUCUUAUUGUUAUUUUCCCAGGACGAGUACGAACACACUUCAACCACCUCCUACCACCCUCUUGCCCACCGUUCUCUUUGCCCACCAUUCUCUUGCCCACCGUCCUCUUGCCCACCAUCAUCACUCUUUACCCACCAUCACCUCUUGCCCACACAGCCCCACUCUUGCCCACCGUCAUGAGGGGGCUGGUGCAGUACGUGACACUAGGGGUGUGUUGGAACAUGGUGGGCAAACUUCAUGACAGCAGCCUGCCCCUCGCCAUGGCCCACUUGCCCACCCCGGGAGAGAGUGACCAGCAGUACCUCAAGAGUUACCUGACCAGGAUGGAGAGCCGGAAUAUGGUCUCUCACAACUUACAGGGCCGCGACGUGCCCAUUGCCCUCACCAACUACCCACCGUUCCUGCACAUCAUUAGGGAGAGAGGAGGCAACAAGGUGAUGGGCAGAGGCAUGAGCUGGGAGCUAAUGAUGACUCUGGCCAACUACUUCAACUUCACCCCCGUCCCUCUGGUGGCCGAGGAUGACGUUAUCGGCCUCAGGAGUGAGAGUGGGGAGUGGAAGGGCGCAAUGCAACUCCUGGAUAGUAAGGUGGCUGAGCUGACCCUGCUACCUGUGACCAUCACCGCAGCACGGGAGGAGGUUCUCGACUUCUCCCUCCUGCUGGGGACAACCACCUUCGGUAUCCUGGCCAAGAGACCGAAGGAUUCCCCUAAGCCAGACGCCCUCCUGAAACCCUUCAGUCUUGAGGUGUGGUGGUUGAUCCUGGCGGCCACAGCGGUGAUGGGGCCCCUCAUCUAUUUCAUCAUCGUGGUCAGGGUGAGGCUGUGUAAGGGUGACCCCAGACUGACCCGGGUCUUCCCUUGACCAGUGUGUUUGGUUCGUGUACGGCGCCAUGAUGAAACAGGGCAGUAUGCUGAAGCCCAUCUCCGACUCUUCACGUAUUCUCAUCGCUACGUGGUGGUUAUUCAUCAUGAUCGUCACGUCAUUCUACACGGCCAACUUGACAGCGUUCCUCACGUUCAAUGGCCUCAAGUUGCCUAUAGAGAAGGUGGAAGAUCUCGAGAACUUACCUGGCGUGUCCUGGCUGGCCUUCCGGGAUGGUGCCCUUGUCGAAGUCAUCACGACUCACCCUAAGUUAAAGGUCUUGAGGGAUCUUCAGGCUAAGGGCCGGGGCAGGUUCAUCAACUCACGGGCGGAGGCUGUAGCUCUGGUGAGGACGAACGAAUACGUAUACAUAGACGACAUGCAAGUCCUCGAGUACCUUAUACAGGAAGACUUCAAGACACAGAGGAGGAAGGAGGCGAACGAGACCUGCAGCUUCUACACCACCACCCUCACCUCCGAUAAGGGCUUCACCUUCUGGUAUGGUUACGGCUUCAGGAAAGACAGCGAGUACUCUGAUCUCUUCAACGGCUUUUUCCGCCGAUUAUCCUUCUUCGGGAUCCUGAACUUCCUACACGACAACGUCACCUCCAACAGCCCAGUGUGUACCCUACCUAAGGGCUUUAAGGAUCGUCGCCUCCAGAACAAGGACUUCUACACCACUUACGUCCUGGGCUCGGCGGGCGUCCUGGCUGCUCUUACUGCCCUUAUCUGCGAGUUUGUCUGCCGGAAGAGCAGGAGGACCGGACGUAACAUGACUCCUCCCACUACGACGUUUACGGGAAGGAUGGGCUCGACUCUCGGCUUCGGCGGGUCCUCCCAGGGCGUCCAGGACCUCAACUGGAGCAGCAACCUUCCUCCAUUACCCAGCAUGAGACCGAGGACGCCCUUCGAGGUGAGAUAUCCGCACUACAACAACAGGAUGAGCUCCUCUAACACCCCCGCCGACGGGAGGAACUCGAAAAAUGUCCAAAUGACCAUCUCGGCGAGGCAGCAGCAGCAGCACCAGCAGCAGCAGCAGCAGCAGCGACCACGGCGGGAGAAACAACACUCUCACAGGACGGGGAACAUGUUUCUCGAGACUCAAAGAAGUCCUUAUAUUAUUGAAGUCGUUUGGUGAAGGAGAGUUCUCGCGGCCACGAUGAGACGAAAGGAUCUUGAGGAAUUCCUGAGCCUUCGCCCAGCAAUUGAAGGAUUUCAAGCACUUAAGGACUCCCAAGACCGCCGCCUAAGGAUUCCCAAGACCGCAGCCUAAGGAUUCCCAAGACCGCAGCCUAAGGAUUCCCAAGACCGCAGCCUAAGGACUCCCAUGACCGCAGCCUAAGGAUUCCCAAGAC
rnacentral:misc_RNA from 1 species